AUUAGGAAAUGGCCACCUGAGAUUAAUAAGGCUACCAGGCUCCUCCAUCCAUGGGAUUGUAGAUUGAGACUGUAAACCCUGCUCACACCCUAAUCUUGUCACAGACCCCACCUCUGAACCACUGUUAUAAAACCCUUCAUCAUAUCCUCUGGGGUUGAGACAUAGCAGAAGCCUCCCUUGCCGGGCAAAGCAAUGAAGUUAUCCUUUUCUACUUCAUCUAAAACUCUGUCUCCGGGAUUUGAUUCAGGACCAGUGAUAGAGAGCCCAAGCUUUCGGUAACAAAACCCUCUGACACUAGCAGUGCGGUAUCUCUUCUGGUGGGUUCCAGCGUCUUCCUGCUGAUGGUUGUUCAGCAGUUGUGAUUUCACUGCUCCCAUGAGAAGAGGUGGGUACGUGUCCUUCUACUCUGCCGUCUUGAACCAAUCGCUCAAUUUUUGAGCUACUACUGCUAUAAUCUGUGUCUGAGAUUAAAAGUCAUUAACGGUGAUGAAACCAGAUAAAGUGUAAAACUUGCCAUCUUCUACAACUUACUAUACAUAUUUCUUGAAUAUCAUUUUACUUAACACACAAAUUACUUGUUUAUCUAUAGGUUCAUAAAAGCAAUUUAUUUAAAAAUCAUACAAAAAUUCUUUCAAAAAUGUCACUUGGAGCAUUAAAAUAAAUAACAAUAGUAAUGUAUAAUGAUCUAAUGCUAUUAUAACCACAUACAUAUGUACAUGCAUACAUUAGGGAGAAGAAAAACUUACAAUAGAAUGCCGACCAUUAAAGUCAGAAAGAAUGAUGGAGUUAGAAGGCUACUAUUUAGUAGAUUACACAGUGAAAAUUGAUUUGGGCAGGAGUCGUCCUCAAAAGCUAAAACUUGUUGGUAAAGGUUUGAUGAGGAACAGAACAUGCAGAUAGUU